rnacentral:rRNA from 1 species
CAGUAGCCGCGGGAAUACGAAGGGGGCUAGCGUUGUUCGGAAUUACUGGGCGUAAAGCGCACGUAGGCGGACAUUUAAGUCAGGGGUGAAAUCCCGGGGCUCAACCCCGGAACUGCCUUUGAUACUGGGUGUCUAGAGUAUGGAAGAGGUGAGUGGAAUUCCGAGUGUAGAGGUGAAAUUCGUAGAUAUUCGGAGGAACACCAGUGGCGAAGGCGGCUCACUGGUCCAUUACUGACGCUGAGGUGCGAAAGCGUGGGGAGCAAACAGGAUUAGAUACCCCAGUAGUCCCUGUCUCUUAUAA